rnacentral:rRNA from 1 species
GACGAACGCUGGCGGCGUGCUUAACACAUGCAAGUCGAACGGAAAGGCACUGCUUUUGUGGGGUGCUCGAGUGGCGAACGCGUGAGUAACACGUGAGUAACCUGCCCUUGACUUUGGGAUAACUUCAGGCAACUGGGGCUAAUACCGGAUAGGAGCUCCUGCUGCAUGGUGGGGGGUGGAAAGUUUCGGCGGUUGGGGAUGGACUCGCGGCUUAUCAGCUUGCUGGUGGGGUAGUGGCUUACCCAGGCUUUGACGGGUAGCCGGCCUGAGAGGGUGACCGGCCACAAUGGGACUGAGAGACGGCCCAGACUCCUACGGGAGGCAGCAGUGGGGAAUAUUGCACAGUGGGCGGAAGCGUGAUGCAGCAACGCCGCGUGCGGGAUGACGGCCUUCGGGUUGUAAACCGCUUUCGCCUGUGACGAAGCGUGAGUGACGGUAAUGGGUAAAGAAGCACCGGCUAACUACGUG